rnacentral:tRNA from 1 species
GUUUUAAUAGUUUAAAUAAAACAAUGAUUUUGUAAAUCAUAAAUGGAAUUAACCCUUAAAACU